rnacentral:miRNA from 1 species
UGCAAUGGGUCGCACUGAGACU